ACGCUCGACACCUACGGGAGGGCAGCAGUGGGGAAUAUUGCACAAUGGGGGAAACCCUGAUGCAGCAACGCCGCGUGAAGGAAGACGGUUUUCGGAUUGUAAACUUCUGUUCUUAGUGAAGAUAGUGACGGUAGCUAAGGAGCAAGCCACGGCUAACUACGUGUCAGCAGCCGCGGUAAUCUGAGCGGGCUGGCAAGGC
rnacentral:rRNA from 1 species